CCUACGGGAGGCAGCAGUGAGGAAUAUUGGUCAAUGGGCGCGAGCCUGAACCAGCCAAGUCGCGUGAGGGAGGACGGCCCUACGGGUUGUAAACCUCUUUUGCCGGGGAGCAACGGGCGUCACGUGUGGCGCCACUGAGAGUACCCGGAGAAAAAGCAUCGGCUAACUCCGUGCCAGCAGCCGCGGUAAUACGGAGGAUGCGAGCGUUAUCCGGAUUUAUUGGGUUUAAAGGGUGCGUAGGCGGAGCGUUAAGUCAGGGGUCAAAUUUCGGGGCUCAACCCCUUCCCGCCAUUGAAACUGGCGUUCUUGAGUGGAAGAGAAGUAUGCGGAAUGCGUGGUGUAGCGGUGAAUGCAUAGAUAUCACGCAGAACCCCGAUUGCGAAGGCAGCCUUCCGGCGCCCUACUGACGCUGAGGCACGAAAGUGCGGGGAUCGAACAGGAUUAGAUACCCCGGUAGUC
rnacentral:rRNA from 1 species